rnacentral:rRNA from 1 species
GAUGAACGCUGGCGGCGUGCCUAAUACAUGCAAGUCGAGCGAACGGACGAGAAGCUUGCUUCUCUGAUGUUAGCGGCGGACGGGUGGGUAACACGUGGAUAACCUACCUAUAAGACUGGGAUAACUUCGGGAAACCGGGGCUAAUACCGGAUGAUAUUUUGAACCGCAUGGUUCAAAAGUGAAAGACGGUCUUGCUGUCACUUAUAGAUGGAUCCGCGCUGCAUUAGCUAGUUGGUAAGGUAACGGCUUACCAAGGCAACGAUGCAUAGCCGACCUGAGAGGGUGAUCGGCCACACUGGAACUGAGACACGGUCCAGACUCCUACGGGAGGCAGCAGUAGGGAAUCUUCCGCAAUGGGCGAAAGCCUGACGGAGCAACGCCGCGUGAGUGAUGAAGGUCUUCGGAUCGUAAAACUCUGUUAUUAGGGAAGAACAUAUGUGUAAGUAACUGUGCACAUCUUGACGGUACCUAAUCAGAAAGCCACGGCUAACUACGUG